GCCAUCAGGAAAGAGAUCACAGAAAAGCGAUUGCCUGUACAGUCCUCUUCAUCAUUUGUGACCUGGGAUAUUGAGCUCUUGGGCUGUCAGAAUUCCAGUUCAUGAGGCAAUCUAUGUCAUUCUGGUCUAGCCAGCACCUUGAUGAAGUGGCAUAUUAUAUCCAUCUUCCAGAUGAGGAAAUUGAUACAUGGAAAUGACACAGAUCCAAAAAAAUAUUCCUGUGAUUUAUGUCAGAGAGUGUUCUGCCUAUGUUCUCUUCAAGGAGUUUUAUAGUUUCCAGGCUCUGGUGGGGUGUGUGUGGAGAGGGACUCCAGUGACUAGCAUCAGCAAAU